rnacentral:rRNA from 1 species
UACGUAGGUGGCAAGCGUUGUCCGGAAUUAUUGGGUGUAAAGCGCGCGCAGGCGGUCUUUUUAAGUCUGAUGUGAAAGCCCCCCGGCUCAACCGGGGAGGGUCAUUGGAAACUGGGAGACUUGAGUGCAGAAGAGAAGAGUGGAAUUCCACGUGUAGCGGUGAAAUGCGUAGAGAUGUGGAGGAACACCAGUGGCGAAGGCGACUCUUUGGUCUGUAACUGACGCUGAGGCGCGAAAGCGUGGGGAGCAAACAGG